rnacentral:rRNA from 1 species
CGGACGGGUGAGUAAUGUAUGGGGAUCUGCCUGAUGGCGGGGGAUAACUACUGGAAACGGUAGCUAAUACCGCAUAAUGUCUACGGACCAAAGCGGGGGACCUCCGGGCCUCUUGCCAUCGGAUGUGCCCAGAUGGGAUUAGCUAGUAGGUGGGGUAACGGCUCACCUAGGCGACGAUCCCUAGCUGGUCUGAGAGGAUGACCAGCCACACUGGAACUGAGACACGGUCCAG